ensembl:snRNA
GUGUUACAUGAACUGAGAGAGGGUUGACACUACCCUUUACAAGGAUGGAAGAGACUCUCGGGCCUAACAACACAUAUAUGGUUAAGGCACUGCCUCCUACUUUGAGGCACUAACCAUUGUUUUUU